GGAAGCUGGGGCCGCCGUCGGGCCUUCUCCCUCCAGGGGCCCAAGAGCCACUGGUACUCAGUGUCUGGGUGGGGGCAGGGGGGAUUUUUGUUCUCCCAGCACCUGCGGCUGUUGAGACCAGAGAAGCUGGUGGUCGACCACAGCCUGGGGUAUUAGUUCACCCCUAGCUUCUCCCCAGCGAGACCCCAGGGCCCUUGGGCACAGGGGAUUAAGCCUCUAUCUGCUUACGUGCAAGCGGAAGAAAUAGGCCCAGAGAGCAACAGUGGCGGGUCUGCAGUCACACAGCCAACUUGCGCUUGUGGCAGUGGCAAGGUUGAAGUUCUGAGGGUACCCCUCACUCAAGCUCCAGGCGUCAGGAAAAGAACAUUCCACGAAGUCCAUCUGGAAGACGGUCCUUUCCCUGCUGCCCCCAGCUUCCUGAUUUCUCCCGAUUCCUUCCUUCUCCCUGGAGCGGCCGACAAUGUCCACCACGGUCAAUGUAGAUUCCCUUGCGGAAUAUGAGAAGAGCCAGAUCAAGAGAGCCCUGGAGCUGGGGACGGUGAUGACUGUGUUCAGCUUCCGCAAGUCCACCCCCGAGCGGAGAACCGUCCAGGUGAUCAUGGAGACGCGGCAGGUGGCCUGGAGCAAGACCGCUGACAAGAUCGAGGGCUUCUUGGAUAUCAUGGAAAUAAAAGAAAUCCGCCCAGGGAAGAACUCCAAAGAUUUCGAGCGAGCAAAAGCAGUUCGCCAGAAAGAAGACUGCUGCUUCACCAUCCUAUAUGGCACUCAGUUCGUCCUCAGCACGCUCAGCUUGGCAGCUGACUCUAAAGAGGAUGCAGUUAACUGGCUCUCUGGCUUGAAAAUCUUACACCAGGAAGCGAUGAAUGCGUCCACGCCCACCAUUAUCGAGAGUUGGCUGAGAAAGCAGAUAUAUUCUGUGGAUCAAACCAGAAGAAACAGCAUCAGUCUCCGAGAGUUGAAGACCAUCUUGCCCCUGAUCAACUUUAAAGUGAGCAGUGCCAAGUUCCUUAAAGAUAAGUUUGUGGAAAUAGGAGCACACAAAGAUGAGCUCAGCUUUGAACAGUUCCAUCUCUUCUAUAAAAAACUUAUGUUUGAACAGCAAAAAUCGAUUCUCGAUGAAUUCAAAAAGGAUUCGUCCGUGUUCAUCCUGGGGAACACUGACAGGCCGGAUGCCUCUGCUGUUUACCUGCAUGACUUCCAGAGGUUUCUCAUACAUGAACAGCAGGAGCAUUGGGCUCAGGAUCUGAACAAAGUCCGUGAGCGGAUGACAAAGUUCAUUGAUGACACCAUGCGUGAAACUGCUGAGCCUUUCUUGUUUGUGGAUGAGUUCCUCACGUACCUGUUUUCACGAGAAAACAGCAUCUGGGAUGAGAAGUAUGACGCGGUGGACAUGCAGGACAUGAACAACCCCCUGUCUCAUUACUGGAUCUCCUCGUCACAUAACACGUACCUUACAGGUGACCAGCUGCGGAGCGAGUCGUCCCCAGAAGCUUACAUCCGCUGCCUGCGCAUGGGCUGUCGCUGCAUUGAACUGGACUGCUGGGACGGGCCCGAUGGGAAGCCGGUCAUCUACCAUGGCUGGACGCGGACUACCAAGAUCAAGUUUGACGACGUCGUGCAGGCCAUCAAAGACCACGCCUUUGUUACCUCGAGCUUCCCAGUGAUCCUGUCCAUCGAGGAGCACUGCAGCGUGGAGCAACAGCGUCACAUGGCCAAGGCCUUCAAGGAAGUAUUUGGCGACCUGCUGUUGACGAAGCCCACGGAGGCCAGUGCUGACCAGCUGCCCUCGCCCAGCCAGCUGCGGGAGAAGAUCAUCAUCAAGCAUAAGAAGCUGGGCCCCCGAGGCGAUGUGGAUGUCAACAUGGAGGACAAGAAGGACGAACACAAGCAACAGGGGGAGCUGUACAUGUGGGAUUCCAUUGACCAGAAAUGGACUCGGCACUACUGCGCCAUUGCCGAUGCCAAGCUGUCCUUCAGUGAUGACAUUGAACAGACUAUGGAGGAGGAAGUGCCCCAGGAUAUACCCCCUACAGAACUACAUUUUGGGGAGAAAUGGUUCCACAAGAAGGUGGAGAAGAGGACGAGUGCCGAGAAGUUGCUGCAGGAAUACUGCAUGGAGACGGGGGGCAAGGAUGGCACCUUCCUGGUUCGGGAGAGCGAGACCUUCCCCAAUGACUACACCCUGUCCUUCUGGCGGUCAGGCCGGGUCCAGCACUGCCGGAUCCGCUCCACCAUGGAGGGCGGGACCCUGAAAUACUACUUGACUGACAACCUCACCUUCAGCAGCAUCUAUGCCCUCAUCCAGCACUACCGCGAGACGCACCUGCGCUGCGCCGAGUUCGAGCUGCGGCUCACGGACCCUGUGCCCAACCCCAACCCCCACGAGUCCAAGCCGUGGUACUAUGACAGCCUGAGCCGCGGAGAGGCAGAGGACAUGCUGAUGAGGAUUCCCCGGGACGGGGCCUUCCUGAUCCGGAAGCGAGAGGGGAGCGACUCCUAUGCCAUCACCUUCAGGGCUAGGGGCAAGGUAAAGCAUUGUCGCAUCAACCGGGACGGCCGGCACUUUGUGCUGGGGACCUCCGCCUAUUUUGAGAGUCUGGUGGAGCUCGUCAGUUACUACGAGAAGCAUUCACUCUACCGAAAGAUGAGACUGCGCUACCCCGUGACCCCCGAGCUCCUGGAGCGCUACAAUAUGGAAAGAGAUAUAAACUCCCUCUACGACGUCAGCAGAAUGUAUGUGGAUCCCAGUGAAAUCAAUCCGUCCAUGCCUCAGAGAACCGUGAAAGCUCUGUAUGACUACAAAGCCAAGCGAAGCGAUGAGCUGAGCUUCUGCCGUGGUGCCCUCAUCCACAAUGUCUCCAAGGAGCCCGGGGGCUGGUGGAAAGGAGACUAUGGAACCAGGAUCCAGCAGUACUUCCCAUCCAACUACGUCGAGGACAUCUCAACUGCAGACUUCGAGGAGCUAGAAAAGCAGAUUAUUGAAGACAAUCCCUUAGGGUCUCUUUGCAGAGGAAUAUUGGACCUCAAUACCUAUAACGUCGUGAAAGCCCCUCAGGGAAAAAACCAGAAGUCCUUUGUCUUCAUCCUGGAGCCCAAGCAGCAGGGCGAUCCUCCGGUGGAGUUUGCCACAGACAGGGUGGAGGAGCUCUUUGAGUGGUUUCAGAGCAUCCGAGAGAUCACCUGGAAGAUUGACACCAAGGAGAACAACAUGAAGUACUGGGAGAAGAACCAGUCCAUCGCCAUCGAGCUCUCUGACCUGGUUGUCUACUGCAAACCAACCAGCAAAACCAAGGACAACUUAGAAAAUCCUGACUUCCGAGAAAUCCGCUCCUUUGUGGAGACGAAGGCUGACAGCAUCAUCAGACAGAAGCCCGUCGACCUCCUGAAGUACAAUCAAAAGGGCCUGACCCGCGUCUACCCAAAGGGACAAAGAGUUGACUCUUCAAACUACGACCCCUUCCGCCUCUGGCUGUGCGGUUCUCAGAUGGUGGCACUCAAUUUCCAGACGGCAGAUAAGUACAUGCAGAUGAAUCACGCAUUGUUUUCUCUCAAUGGGCGCACGGGCUACGUUCUGCAGCCUGAGAGCAUGAGGACAGAGAAAUAUGACCCGAUGCCACCCGAGUCCCAGAGGAAGAUCCUGAUGACGCUGACAGUCAAGGUUCUCGGUGCUCGCCAUCUCCCCAAACUUGGACGAAGUAUUGCCUGUCCCUUUGUAGAAGUGGAGAUCUGUGGAGCCGAGUAUGACAACAACAAGUUCAAGACGACGGUUGUGAAUGAUAAUGGCCUCAGCCCUAUCUGGGCUCCAACACAGGAGAAGGUGACAUUUGAAAUUUAUGACCCAAACCUGGCAUUUCUGCGCUUUGUGGUUUAUGAAGAAGAUAUGUUCAGCGAUCCCAACUUUCUUGCUCAUGCCACUUACCCCAUUAAAGCAGUCAAAUCAGGAUUCAGGUCCGUUCCUCUGAAGAAUGGGUACAGCGAGGACAUAGAGCUGGCUUCCCUCCUGGUUUUCUGUGAGAUGCGGCCAGUCCUGGAGAGCGAAGAGGAACUUUACUCCUCCUGUCGCCAGCUGAGGAGGCGGCAAGAAGAACUGAACAACCAGCUCUUUCUGUAUGACACACACCAGAACUUGCGCAAUGCCAACCGGGAUGCCCUGGUUAAAGAGUUCAGUGUUAAUGAGAACCAGCUCCAGCUGUACCAGGAGAAAUGCAACAAGAGGUUAAGAGAGAAGAGAGUCAGCAACAGCAAGUUUUACUCAUAGAAGCUGGGGUAUGUGUGUAAGGGUAUUGUGUGUGUGCGCAUGUGUGUUUGCAUGUAGGAGAACGUGCCCUAUUCACACUCUGGGAAGACGCUAAUCUGUGACAUCUUUUCUUCAAGCCUGCCAUCAAGGACAUUUCUUAAGACCCAACUGGCAUGAGUUGGGGUAAUUUCCUAUUAUUUUCAUCUUGGACAACUUUCUUAACUUAUAUUCUUUAUAGAGGAUUCCCCAAAAUGUGCUCCUCAUUUUUGGCCUCUCAUGUUCCAAACCUCAUUGAAUAAAAGCAAUGAAAACCUUGA
ensembl:lncRNA novel transcript